UAAGUUAAAUCCACUAAACUGACUAAGCUACAUUUUUCUGUAUCUCAAAUGCACUAGAGUAAUUGAUCUACAUUUUUCUAUGUCUCAAAUCUACUAAACUAACUAAACUAACUAAUAGAUCUAUCUACAACGAGCUAACCUAAAUUAGAGGAUUAGGAAAAAUACCUCUAACGAAGCGAGGAACGAGGCUUCAAUUUCC
rnacentral:lncRNA from 1 species